GCAAGCCUGACGGAGCAACGCCGCGUGAGGGAUGAAGGCCUUUGGGCUGUAAACCUCUUUUCUCAAGGAAGAAGAUCUGACGGUACUUGAGGAAUAAGCCACGGCUAAUUCCGUGCCAGCAGCCGCGGUAAUACGGGAGUGGCAAGCGUUAUCCGGAAUUAUUGGGCGUAAAGCGUCCGCAGGCGGCCGUUUAAGUCUGUUGUUAAAUCGUGGAGCUCAACUCCAUCACGGCAAUGGAAACUGUUCGGCUUGAGUAUGGUAGGGGCAGAGGGAAUUUCCGGUGUAGCGGUGAAAUGCGUAGAUAUCGGGAAGAACACCAGUGGCAAAAGCGCUCUGCUGGGCCAUUACUGACGCUCAUGGACGAAAGCCAGGGGAGCGAAAGGGAUUAGAUACCCCUGUAGUCCUGGCCGUAAACGAUGAACACUAGUUGUUGGGGGAAUCGACCCCCUCGGUGUCGUAGCUAACGCGUUAAGUGUUCCGCCUGGGGAGUACGCACGCAAGUGUGAAACUCAAAGGAAUUGACGGGGGCCCGCACAAGCGGUGGAGUAUGUGGUUUAAUUCGAUGCAACGCGAAGAACCUUACCAAGGCUUGACAUCCUGCGAAUCUCUGAGAAAUUAGAGAGUGCCUUCGGGAACGCAGUGACAGGUGGUGCAUGGCUGUCGUCAGCUCGUGUCGUGAGAUGUUGGGUUAAGUCCCGCAACGAGCGCAACCCACGUUUUUAGUUGCCAGCAUUCAGUUGGGCACUCUAGAAAGACUGCCGGUGACAAACCGGAGAAAGGUGUGGACGACGUCAAGUCAUCAUGCCCCUUACGCCUUGGGCUACACACGUACUACAAUGCUGCGGACAAAGAGUAGCGAUCUUGCAAAAGUUAGCUAAUCUCAUAAACCGUGGCUCAGUUCAGAUCGUAGGCUGCAACUCGCCUACGUGAAGGAGGAAUCGCUAGUAAUCGCAGGUCAGCAUACUGCGGUGAAUACGUUCCCGGGCCUUGUACACACCGCCCGUCACACCAUGGAAGUUGGCC
rnacentral:rRNA from 1 species